UACGUAGGGUGCAAGCGUUGUCCGGAAUUAUUGGGCGUAAAGAGCUCGUAGGCGGUCUGUUGCGUCGGCUGUGAAAACCCGGGGCUCAACCCCGGGCCUGCAGCCGAUACGAGCAGACUAGAGUUCGGCAGGGGAGACUGGAAUUCCUGGUGUAGCGGUGAAAUGCGCAGAUAUCAGGAGGAACACCAGUAGCGAAGGCGGCACUCUGGGCCGGUACUGACGCUGAGGAGCGAAAGCGUGGGGAGCAAACAGG
rnacentral:rRNA from 1 species